rnacentral:rRNA from 1 species
CGAACGCUGGCGGCGUGCUUAACACAUGCAAGUCGAACGAGAAAGUCCUUCGGGAUGAGUACAGUGGCGCACGGGUGAGUAAUGCAUAGGAACGUACCGUUGUGGGGAACAACCACGGGAAACUGUGGCUAAUACCGCAUAGUCUCGCAAGAGUAAAGGUGGCCUCUACUUGUAAGCUACCGCCAAUUGAUCGGCCUAUGUCCCAUUAGCUAGUUGGUAGGGUAAUGGCUUACCAAGGCUACGAUGGGUAGCUGGUCUGAGAGGAUGAUCAGCCACACUGGAACUGAGACACGGUCCAGACUCCUACGGGAGGCAGCAGUGGGGAAUAUUGCACAAUGGGCGCAAGCCUGAUCUAGCCAUGCCGCGUGAGUGAUGAAGGCCUUAGGGUCGUAAAGCUCUUUCGCCUGUGAUGAUAAUGACAGUAGCAGGUAAAGAAACCCCGGCUAACUCCGUG